CUGCACAGACUGGUACCAUUGAUGAUGACGAGGUGGGGGAGCCAUUGAUGCAUUGUAAUAGGUUUCUGGACGACGUUUCAUCAUCACAUGAUGCAUGUCCCUUAAUGGUUGAGGAGCCUAUUACACUACAAGAAGUCACGGAAGUCACCGUCCCCACCAGUGCGGAAGACGAGUUGCUUCAGCAGCUUCCUGUUGUUUGUGCAGCCACCGUCUCCACCAGCGCACAAGACGAGCUUCA